CGAGGAAUACCUCCUCUUUUCUUUAUUUGUAUUUGCCUAAGAUAAAGUUGUGGACUUACUUAUCUUUGCUUCAGACAAAGAUAAGGAUUGACACCUUCGCCCAUCUUGGGACCAAGGAUGGAAUGUAAACAAGAAGGCUGCGGGAUAAAAUUUAUGAAGGGCUAAUUGCGAUUAGGUGGGCGCCUAUCCCCUCCUCUGUCCCCUUCCCCUUUGUUUGUAUUUGCAUUAACGGAAGAAUGUAGGCUGACCUUCGAACACCUGACUAUCCCUUGAUCAAGAUUAGGGUUUCUGGAAUGUAGAGAUGUACAUUCCUGUAGGUUUUUUGUCUAAGUAGUCUUUGCCUAUAAAAGUUCUGUGUGAAGCAAAUAAAAUUGGCACUAUUUCUCUCUUUUCAUAUAGUGUCCAUCUCUUCUUUUGUUACUCUUCAUUUUUCGUUACCCCAAACAGGAUGUCACAGGACUGGCCGACCCUGUGGAUGAGUCUUGUAAGCCAUAGAGUCUUACAAAUGGCUGCCCGGACAGGGACUUUCAUUCGUAACCCCGAUUCCUUUGCUGGUCAAAGGAUGACGAAGAGUUAACAGCUUUUGCCCCGAGACUGCAGCUCGGAUGGGCAGAAGAAUCGGACAGAGAGAGUGCAGUAUUUGUGGGCCUCCUCUGUUCCCCAACUUUUUCUCUCUUUUGCUUUUUAGUUUAAACUGUCCCCUAUUAGGGACCCCCUUCCCCCCAUUCUUUUCUUUUCUUGGAACCCUUCCUUCGGUUUUCUUUGGAGAACCCCUGAUGCUGUGUGCUGGUCAUGCAGUUUCAAUGCUACGGAGAUCCCCUUGGUGGUGAGCAUAGGAGAUACUCUAAGGACUUUAAGUGAAGCUACUGGAGUAAAGAGAUGGUCUUUGGGGAACAACCAUCUUGGGUAGAGUAUGUCAGCAUGGGACACGCUUUACCAGAAGUCAUCUUAUAUACAAAAACUAACUGAUAUUCCUGGCAUUUACCAUUUUGAGAGACAAGCUAAGGACAACAAUCAGGCCAACAAUUUGUUUGUGCCUUUCAAUUGGACUGGACUAGUUGAGGCACCCCCAGUGUGCCUCGCAAGAGACCAUCCUGCAUGCCUGCCCCUCAGAUCGCUGAAGGUGCAUUAUUAUGGUCAUCCUGACCUGUCAGACUCUUUUUGGAUAGGACCUUAUCAUGUAGAUAAAAGGGAAAAAUAUGAAGAUUAUGGCCAACUGCAAUAUCUAGGUUGGCUAGGGGAAUCUUGUGAUAGUAUUUGGGGACAAGAAAGACCUAUUUGUCCAUAUGUGAUGGGAUAUGAACAAAGAGACACUGUUAAUAUGUUUCUGCCCUUGCUGUCAUGUAGAUUUAAAAGGGCAUCAUGUAUUCAUUGGAAAAAUAUGAUUUGGAUGUAUUGGCAUAACAACACAAGGUGUAUUGGAAAGAAAUUGGAUUCUUAUAAAUUUCAUGAUUGUUUUAUAGGAUACAGCUCACCUUUGUGGGUGAUGCCCCCAGAGCUAAUUGGUUACAUUUUGCUAAUUUCACACAGAUUUUGACUGAUUAUGGAAAGAUAGCCCUGGCAUUGGAUAAAGUAAAUAUGUCUCAUUAUGUUAAUGUUACUUAUAAUGGAAAAGUCCAAAAUCCAGUAACUAGAAGUGUUACAUUAGGCAUUCAAGGUAAACACUCAGGGGGGUGGUAUCACUCACCGGCAGAUAGAGCAAUGGAAUAAUUGUCUCAACUAAUCAGCCCUAAGAAAAGAAGAUGUAUUUCUUGUUUAGUUGUAGGAAUUGUAGCUCUUAUAGCCGCUAUAACAGCCACAACUGUCAGUAGUGUUUCACUAGCACAAAGUGUAGCUAAUGUAAGGACCCUGGAACAUGAUGCAGAAUAUUUACAUGGGCUAGCACAGAAUGUAACCCAGGUUUUACACUUGCAGCAGGAUAUUAAUACAAGGGUUUUUUAUGCUUUACAACAAAUAUCUAAAGAUGUAUUGUUAUUAACCAAUCAAGUAGAAAUUUUAGCUAUCAAGGGUAAAUUAAGGUGUGAUUAUCGCUAUUCAGCCUUUUGCCUUCUUCCUGUUAAAGCUAACAUGUCUGAUGCAUUCGAAAAAAUUAGAAGUGAUUUACAAGGUCUUUGGUUAAAGAGUAACAUCUCAGAGGACAUCCAACAAUUGAACCACAUCAUUGAUGAGAUGGAUAACUCUUUAGCUGAGGACCUUCGCCCCGAACAUAUCGCUGAUUCGUUAUACAAUUGGAUCAAGUCAGGCCAAAGUUGGCUGUCUCCUUUGGCCCAAAUGAGUAUAACCAUAUUAACCUUCAUAUUGUUCAUAGUUAUCUUAGCGGUCCUUCUUCCCUGUCUGUUCCAAAUCCUUUUGUCCAGCUUGGGAAAAAUUGGCCAAAUCUUGGCUCUCCACAGAAGUCUUUUGCAGAACAAAUAGGGGGAAUUGUAGUCGAGGAAUACCUCCUCUUUUCUUUAUUUGUAUUUGCCUAAGAUAAAGUUGUGGACUUACUUAUCUUUGCUUCAGACAAAGAUAAGGAUUGACACCUUCGCCCAUCUUGGGACCAAGGAUGGAAUGUAAACAAGAAGGCUGCGGGAUAAAAUUUAUGAAGGGCUAAUUGCGAUUAGGUGGGCGCCUAUCCCCUCCUCUGUCCCCUUCCCCUUUGUUUGUAUUUGCAUUAACGGAAGAAUGUAGGCUGACCUUCGAACACCUGACUAUCCCUUGAUCAAGAUUAGGGUUUCUGGAAUGUAGAGAUGUACAUUCCUGUAGGUUUUUUGUCUAAGUAGUCUUUGCCUAUAAAAGUUCUGUGUGAAGCAAAUAAAAUUGGCACUAUUUCUCUCUUUUCA